UGGUAAUUAGUUUAGGAAAAACAAGUGAUUUCGACUCAUUAGACUAUGACAAUAUCAUAAUUACCAA
rnacentral:tRNA from 3 species